ACUAGAGAGAAUGCAGCUUUAACACAGCAAGUACUUUGAAGUAUCUGGAGUACUUGUACUUGAGUAUUUCCUUGUACUCCUCCACAUCUCUGACAGUCUGAUGAGUUUCCAUGUUGACUCGCCUCUGUUUGUUUCCUCCUGCAGACUCUCAGCAGACGGAGUUCUCCUCCUAUCAGCUGACUGUCCCUCGACUAAUAGGAGGCCGGCUGAGGCGGGACGCGGGCGGCAGACCCCCCAAUCAGGUGUCUUAUGUCAUCAGUGUGGACGGAAACGAUCACGUCGUUCACCUGCAGAGAAACGGACUGCUGCUUCUCUGC